AUUGAAACACCAGUUCUCAUAUGUUCACCAAAGUUAAGCAACAUCAAGCCUGGUCAGUACCUUGAUGGGUGACCACUUGGGAAUACCAGGUGCUGUAAG